UACGAAGGGGGCUAGCGUUGUUCGGAAUUACUGGGCGUAAAGGGCUCGUAGGCGGCCAACUAAGUCAUACGUGAAAUCCCUCGGCUUAACCGGGGAACUGCGUCUGAUACUGGAUGGCUUGAGUUCGGGAGAGGGAUGCGGAAUUCCAGGUGUAGCGGUGAAAUGCGUAGAUAUCUGGAGGAACACCGGUGGCGAAGGCGGCAUCCUGGACCGAUACUGACGCUGAGGAGCGAAAAGCCAGGGG
rnacentral:rRNA from 1 species